GGAGAUGUAGCUCAGUGGUAAAGCACUUGCUUAGCACACUCAAGGCCCUGGGUUUCAUCCCCAGCACCACCA
rfam:Heterocephalus glaber contig39187, whole genome shotgun sequence.